CCUACGGGUGGCAGCAGUGAGGAAUAUUGGUCAAUGGACGAGAGUCUGAACCAGCCAAGUAGCGUGAAGGAUGACUGCCCUAUGGGUUGUAAACUUCUUUUAUAUGGGAAUAAAAUGUUCCACGUGUGGGAUUUUGUAUGUACCCUAUGAAUAAGGAUCGGCUAACUCCGUGCCAGCAGCCGCGGUAAUACGGAGGAUCCGAGGGUUUUCCGGAUUUAUUGGGUUUUAAGGGAGCGUAGGUGGAUUGUUAAGUCAGUUGUGAAAGUUUGCGGCUCAACCGUAAAAUUGCAGUUGAAACUGGCAGUCUUGAGUACAGUAGAGGUGGGCGGAAUUCGGGGUGUAGCGGUGAAAUGCUUAGAUAUCACGAAGAAAUCCGAUUGGGAAGGCAGUUCACUGGACUGCAACUGACACUGAGGCUCGAAAGUGUGGGUAUCAAACAGGAUUAGAUACCCCGAGUAGUC
rnacentral:rRNA from 1 species